GACAGAGGUGCCAAGCGUUAGGCGGAAUCACUGGGCGUAAAGGGCGCGUAGGCGGCCUUCUCAGUCGGACGUGAAAUCCCCGGGCUCAACCCGGGAACUGCGUCCGAUACUGGAAGGCUUGAAUCCGGGAGAGGGAUGUGGAAUUCAAGGUGUAGCGGUGAAAUGCGUAGAUAUCUGGAGGAACACCGGUGGCGAAGGCGACAUCCUGGACCGGUAUUGACGCUGAGGCGCGAAAGCCAGGGGAGCAAACGGG
rnacentral:rRNA from 1 species